CCCUUACAACCAGCCGUACGCAGCGUACCCGCCGGCACACAACACCACCAAUAGAUCCUCGUGUAAGGCGACGCCGACGUAUCUUAGCGCGUAUGGCGUGAGCGGCGUAGGAAGCGUGCCCAGCACUGGGUUUGGAACCCAACCAUCGCCCUAUGCCUACUCGUCAUACAAUGGAAGCCUGGCUCAAUCGUUUCCUACUACCCAACAGGACUACAGCAGCUACGCAGCAGGUUACGCGGAGCACAAUGUCGCACAAUACAGCGGAUAUUACGCUGCACCAAGCUACUCUCCUUACGUCAGCUCGCCUAGUAGCAGCGGCAGUGCUGGAC